UACGAAGGGGGCUAGCGUUGCUCGGAAUUACUGGGCGUAAAGGGCGCGUAGGCGGAUAUUUAAGUCGGGGGUGAAAGCCCGGGGCUCAACCUCGGAAUUGCCUUCGAUACUGGGUAUCUUGAGUUCGGGAGAGGUGAGUGGAAUGCCGAGUGUAGAGGUGAAAUUCGUAGAUAUUCGGCGGAACACCAGUGGCGAAGGCGACUCACUGGCCCGAUACUGACGCUGAUGCGCGAAAGCGUGGGGAGCAAACAGG
rnacentral:rRNA from 1 species